rnacentral:rRNA from 1 species
CUGGCGGCGUGCCUAAUACAUGCAAGUCGAACGAGUUCUGAUUAUUGAAAGGUGCUUGCAUCUUGAUUUAAUUUUGAACGAGUGGCGGACGGGUGAGUAACACGUGGGUAACCUGCCCUUAAGUGGGGGAUAACAUUUGGAAACAGAUGCUAAUACCGCAUAAAUCCAAGAACCGCAUGGUUCUUGGCUGAAAGAUGGCGUAAGCUAUCGCUUUUGGAUGGACCCGCGGCGUAUUAGCUAGUUGGUGAGGUAACGGCUCACCAAGGCAAUGAUACGUAGCCGAACUGAGAGGUUGAUCGGCCACAUUGGGACUGAGACACGGCCCAAACUCCUACGGGAGGCAGCAGUAGGGAAUCUUCCACAAUGGACGCAAGUCUGAUGGAGCAACGCCGCGUGAGUGAAGAAGGCUUUCGGGUCGUAAAACUCUGUUGUUGGAGAAGAAUGGUCGGCAGAGUAACUGUUGUCGGCGUGACGGUAUCCAACCAGAAAGCCACGGCUAACUACGUGCCAGCAGCCGCGGUAAUACGUAGGUGGCAAGCGUUAUCCGGAUUUAUUGGGCGUAAAGCGAGCGCAGGCGGUUUUUUAAGUCUGAUGUGAAAGCCCUCGGCUUAACCGAGGAAGUGCAUCGGAAACUGGGAAACUUGAGUGCAGAAGAGGACAGUGGAACUCCAUGUGUAGCGGUGAAAUGCGUAGAUAUAUGGAAGAACACCAGUGGCGAAGGCGGCUGUCUGGUCUGUAACUGACGCUGAGGCUCGAAAGCAUGGGUAGCGAACAGGAUUAGAUACCCUGGUAGUCCAUGCCGUAAACGAUGAAUGCUAGGUGUUGGAGGGUUUCCGCCCUUCAGUGCCGCAGCUAACGCAUUAAGCAUUCCGCCUGGGGAGUGCGACCGCAAGGUUGAAACUCAAAGGAAUUGACGGGGGCCCGCACAAGCGGUGGAGCAUGUGGUUUAAUUCGAAGCAACGCGAAGAACCUUACCAGGUCUUGACAUCUUUUGAUCACCUGAGAGAUCAGGUUUCCCCUUCGGGGGCAAAAUGACAGGCGGUGCAUGGUUGUCGUCAGCUCGUGUCGUGAGAUGUUGGGUUAAGUCCCGCAACGAGCGCAACCCUUAUGACUAGUUGCCAGCAUUUAGUUGGGCACUCUAGUAAGACUGCCGGUGACAAACCGGAGGAAGGUGGGGAUGACGUCAAAUCAUCAUGCCCCUUAUGACCUGGGCUACACACGUGCUACAAUGGAUGGUACAACGAGUUGCGAGACCGCGAGGUCAAGCUAAUCUCUUAAAGCCAUUCUCAGUUCGGACUGUAGGCUGCAACUCGCCUACACGAAGUCGGAAUCGCUAGUAAUCGCGGAUCAGCACGCCGCGGUGAAUACGUUCCCGGGCCUUGUACACACCGCCCGUCACACCAUGAGAGUUUGUAACACCCGAAGCCGGUGGCGUAACCCUUUUAGGGAGCGAGCCGUCUAAGGUGGGACAAAUGAUUAGGGUGAAGUCAUAACA